ACCUUUAAAUGCUGCAUUAAUUACUGUGCAUGUCAGAGAGAGAGAGAGAGAGGGGAAUACGGACAGUCAAAACGCCGGAACAGCCAAGAGCCACCACUAGCCACCACUCAGCCCCUUUCCUCCUCCGAGAACCACCAUCGGCCGAGCCCAGCCAUCGGCCGAGCCAACACAGCCACCGAAAACCGCCAUCGGCCGAGCCAACACAGCCACCGUGAACCACCAACACCGCAAACACAGUAACCCACUCACUCACGCGGCCUAAAACCUACAUCAAAACCACCACCAACGGCCAAGCCCACACCAAACACCACCAACCACAAGCACUACGUCAAACACCCACACCCACACAACCCAAGCCGUAACCGUUUUCUGAAGCUUAAACGAUAACAUAAGGACAAAGGUAGUUCACCUUUUUUCUAAGAUUCAAGGCUAGAUCUAGGCUUUAUCAGUGUUGGUUUUCAAAAAAUAACGGUGGAUUUGAGAACUAGGGGAAAAAAGGAAUUCAAAACAUGUAGUUUUUUUAAAAAAAGGAGGAGUUUCUUUUUCCGACGCGGCGGCGCCGCCACCCAUGGCCGGCCAGCCACUGCGCCGGUAAACAGCUUCCGGCGGUGUGUGGUUAGAGAGAGAAGAGAGCUUCUGAGCGUUUCUUUAGAGAGAGGAAGAAGUUGGAUUUAUGUUAUUUUAGGGUUUAUUUUCUAAUUUAUACUGCUGCCAUGACCAAUACUAUGGUGCACGCGGAUCUCUGUGUCCCCAUGGACCAUCAGGGUUGAACCGUUAGAUCCUAGAUCUAACGGCCAAUGUUAUCCCCUGUUUUGAUCAGAUGCGUCUCACCUCUUGGUUUUUACUUUGUUCUUCUUCUCUUGUGACGUCUGAUUAAGAUCUAAUGGCUAAGACUGUGUCUCCCCAUGAUCAAAUCUGGACGCUUCGAUCAAUCUGACGAUUCAGAUUUGAUCUGUUAAGCCCACUUUUUAUUUUGAGCCCAUUUCCUUUUUUCUGUUCCUUCUAGUAUUUUACUUUCUGCACCCCCUUUUCUUCUCUAUUCUUUUUUUUUAUUACUUUUUUAUGCAUCAUAUUUACUUUAUGCCCUUGCAUUUUUUUUAUUUUCUUUAUUUAUUUUCCAGCACCAUAUCUAUUUUACGUCUUGCAUUUUAUUUUCCAGUAUCAUAUUUA
rnacentral:lncRNA from 1 species